rfam:Angiostrongylus costaricensis strain Costa Rica genome assembly, scaffold: ACOC_scaffold0000685
GACCGCUUGGCGCUAUGGUAGCGCGUUCGACUCCAGAUCGAAAGGUUGGGCGUUCGAUUCGCUCAGUGGUCA